UGGUAGUCCACGCAGUAAACGAUGAAUACUAACUGUCCGGGCAGAAUGAUGCCUGGGUGGUACAGCGAAAGCGUUAAGUAUUCCACCUGGGGAGUACGCCGGCAACGGUGAAACUCAAAGGAAUUGACGGGGGCCCGCACAAGCGGAGGAACAUGUGGUUUAAUUCGAUGAUACGCGAGGAACCUUACCCGGGCUCAAACGACGGAUGGAUGUUUCUGAAAGGAGGCAGUCCUACGGGACAUCCGUCGAGGUGCUGCAUGGUUGUCGUCAGCUCGUGCCGUGAGGUGUCGGCUUAAGUGCCAUAACGAGCGCAACCCCCAUCGCCAGUUACCAGCAAGUAAAGCUGGGGACUCUGGCGAGACUGCCGGCGCAAGCUGUGAGGAAGGCGGGGAUGACGUCAAAUCAGCACGGCCCUUACGUCCGGGGCGACACACGUGUUACAAUGGCAGGUACAGAGAGAAGCGAUGCGGCGACGCAGAGCGGAACUUCAAAGCCUGUCUCAGUUCGGAUUGGAGUCUGCAACCCGACUCCAUGAAGCUGGAUUCGCUAGUAAUCGCGCAUCAGCCACGGCGCGGUGAAUACGUUCCCGGGCCUUGUACACACCGCCCGUCAAGCCAUGGAAGCCGGGAGUGCCUGAAGUGUGCAACCGCAAGGAGCGCCCUAGGGUAAAACCGGUGACUGGGGCUAAGUCGUAACAAGGUAGCCGUACCGGAAGGUGCGGCUGGAUCACCUC
rnacentral:rRNA from 1 species